rnacentral:rRNA from 1 species
UACGUAGGGGGCAUGCGUUAUCCGGAUUUACUGGGUGUAAAGGGAGCGUAGACGGUUCGAUAAGUCUGGUGUGAAAGCCCGGGGCUCAACCCCGGGACUGCAUUGGAAACUGUCGAACUAGAGUGCAGGAGAGGUAAGUGGAAUUCCUAGUGUAGCGGUGAAAUGCGUAGAUAUUAGGAGGAACACCAGUGGCGAAGGCGACUUACUGGACUGUUACUGACGUUGAGGCUCGAAAGAGUGGGGAGCAAACAGG